GUUCCCUGGAUGGUUCAAAUAAUCAUGCUAAUGAGCUGAUUGUUUUGUUAUGACUGAAAGAUUUACCUUUUUCUGAGGGAAAU